rnacentral:rRNA from 1 species
CCUACGGGCGGCAGCAGUGGGGAAUAUUGGACAAUGGGGGCAACCCUGAUCCAGCCAUGCCGCGUGUGUGAAGAAGGCCCUCGGGUUGUAAAGCACUUUCAGUGGGGAAGAACGCCUGGUGGUUAAUACCCAUCAGGAAAGACAUCACUCACAGAAGAAGCACCGGCUAACUCCGUGCCAGCAGCCGCGGUAAUACGGAGGGUGCGAGCGUUAAUCGGAAUUACUGGGCGUAAAGCGCGCGUAGGUGGCUUGAUAAGCCGGUUGUGAAAGCCCCGGGCUCAACCUGGGAACGGCAUCCGGAACUGUCAAGCUAGAGUGCAGGAGAGGAGGGUAGAAUUCCCGGUGUAGCGGUGAAAUGCGUAGAGAUCGGGAGGAAUACCAGUGGCGAAGGCGGCCUUCUGGACUGACACUGACACUGAGGUGCGAAAGCGUGGGUAGCAAACAGGAUUAGAUACCCUAGUAGUC